rnacentral:guide_RNA from 1 species
AAAACAAAAACAAUAGAACUACCUGAGAUAGAAAAUGAUAUAAC